UAUAGUCUUUCGUCCUGGACUAUAAAUAGGGAUGGGGGCUGGUUAUUUCAGCACCUCUUUGCUUAGCAACUCAUUAUCUUUUAGCUUAGAGGGUAGUCAUGUGCUUAAAGUGAGAGGAGAGAGGGAGAUUAGAGAGUGAUUACUCUUUUCUCUUUAUUUCUUCAUAUUUAGUGGGUGGAUGAAGGGAGGAGGCUAGUCCUCAUCUUGUAUAGAAGAUGUUCUCGUGAUUUAGCUUUGUUUGUUGUCUCAAAUCGUGCUAAAUCUUUGAUUCCCGAGCAUUUUUCUUUUUCUCUAUUUUCGGAACUAUUUUUGGGAAUUUUCGUUCAUCAUGUUUGAGCCCGAAUCUCGUAAGAUUAGUUGAAGGGAAAUGUUGCUAGAACCUUGGAGAGCAUCUUUGAUAUGAUCCACUUUCAAAUCCUUCACGAAUCCGGUUUGAUUUUGAGUUUUUCCCAAAUCAUGUUCUUGAGUUAGGGUUUCUGUUUUCUCCAAAAUUAGUGAUGAAUUCUUGAGCUUUUCAGGAUUAGUUUCAUGGAUCUAUUUGCCCUUAGGGUAUUGCAUCCUUGUCUCAAGUUUCAUCUCGAUUCAUGAAGAUUUGAAAGAGAAUUUCUCGUUCGAAGUCGGAGGUGUUGUUCUCGGUGUUCUUGCUGUUCUUCGUUGUUCCUGUGUCUGUUCGUGCGUCGUCUUUUCUCUUGCGCAGGAGGCAUCGGGCAGCUCACGUGCACGGGACACACGCGUGCCAGCAGUGAAGCAGAUCAGAGCAAGGAGGCGGCCCAGCAAGCAGCAAGAGCUGCGGCCCAGGUGCGUGUGCAGCAGGCCAGCAAGCAGCGGUCCACGCAGCAGCAUUUGUGGGCCGGCAGCGCAACAGGCCACCAGGCCGCACGACCACGGGCCGUACGGCAAGGCAACUCUGGUCUAGCAGUUCAGGCAACCAAACACGAUAAGGAGCAGCAAGUCAGCAACACAUUAGGUCAAGAGUAUGGUAUCCAUUGCAGAUAAGCCAUGUUUGGAUCGAGUGGAGAUUGUGACAAGCUGUCAUCGUAGCUUCUUCUUUAGCACACAAGCUACACCUCCUUUUGUAUCCGAAAAGGCGAUGGACAGUUACAUAUGUGACAGCCCAGUUAGCAAGGUUUUAUUGACGCCCAUCAAAUAAAGGUUGGUUGUGGAUGUUUCAAUGCUGCUCAGUGCUCAGUGAAAAUGUUACUGUAUUCAAGUUUCACAUCGGGAAGAAAGAAACUGGAUUCGCAGAAACUGUCCUCGUCAUUAAAAACCGGACAACUAUUCCGUUCAGUGUGUGAGUGCCUGAAUGCAUCGCCCAAGAAAGAGGCUGAACAUGCAGAAGAUGCCGGGAAGCGCUCUGUCGUGUUGUGUCUAUACCUUGGAGAGAGCGCCACGCACAUGUAUCACAAUCACAGUGCAUGGCGCAACCGAACAGGAGCAAACAGGAGCAAGUUGGAUACUGACUACCACCGCACCUUCAAUUGUGAGCCAUGUUGGUAGUGGUCGAGAGAUGGGAUUCGAGCUGCUGCAGGAGCUGGGAUUGUCAUGUGGCCAGAGCUGGCGCUACCGUACCGGACGGGGGCGUUUGGCAACCUGCUCCAGCGUAGCCAGGAUCAUGGGCAAACCCAGCCAAGCCGUGGGAUGCAAAUAUUUUGUUUGGCAAAUCCGCAUCCCGUAGGCUAGGUCCAACAAAAAUUUUGUUCGGUAUUGAA